rnacentral:misc_RNA from 1 species
GGAAGGAUCAUUAUUGAUAUUAAUUGUCUACCUUCAGUGCUGGCUCUUGCAAGUGCACGUUGGGGACAUAUAUCCUAUACCCUCUUGUGAACCAUUGGCCUUUGCUAGCUUCGGCUGGUAAAGGAUUUUACACAAAUGAAUGUAAUGAAAUAAUCUUGUGCUGAGCACUAAAUAUACAACUUUCAACAACGGAUCUCUUGGCUCUCGCAUCGAUGAAGAACGCAGCGAAAUGCGAUAAGUAAUGUGAAUUGCAGAAUUCAGUGAAUCAUCGAAUCUUUGAACGCACCUUGCACCCUUUGGUAUUCCAAAGGGUAUGCCCGUUUGAGUGUCAUUAUACUCUCACACUCUCUAAUUAGUUAGAGAGCGGUGGAUUUGGAUGCUGCCUGGUACUUACUGUCAGGCUCAUCUUAAAUAAAUUAGUGCGACUCUUAGUUAAACAUAGUACGGCGUGAUAAGUAACCCUCGCUGUUUUCUGUCUGAUUAGGAGCUGUGCUUCAAACCGUCUCAGGACAAUAUUUGAUAACUUGACCUCAAAUCGAGUAGGAUUACCCGCUGAACUUAAGCAUAUCAAUAAGCGGAGGAAAAGAAACUAACAAGGAUUCCCCUAGUAACGGCGAGUGAAGAGGGAAAAGCUCAAAUUUUGAAUCUGGCGUCUUUGGCGUCCGAGUUGUAAUCUAGAGAAGUGUUUUCCGUGGCGGACCGUGCAUAAGUCUCCUGGAAUGGAGCGUCAUAGAGGGUAAGAAUCCCGUGUAUGGCAUGGACUACCGUUACACUGUGAUACACUCUCAACGAGUCGAGUUGUUUGGGAAUGCAGCUCUAAAUGGGUGGUAAAUGCCAUCUAAAGCUAAAUAUUGG